AAGCCCUUCGGGGUGGAUUAGAUGGCGAACGGGUGAGUAACACGUGGGCAAUCUGCCCUUCACUCUGGGACAAGCCCUGGAAACGGGGUCUAAUACCGGAUAACACUCUGUCCCGCAUGGGACGGGGUUGAAAGCUCCGGCGGUGAAGGAUGAGCCCGCGGCCUAUCAGCUUGUUGGUGGGGUGAUGGCCUACCAAGGCGACGACGGGUAGCCGGCCUGAGAGGGCGACCGGCCACACUGGGACUGAGACACGGCCCAGACUCCUACGGGAGGCAGCAGUGGGGAAUAUUGCACAAUGGGCGAAAGCCUGAUGCAGCGACGCCGCGUGAGGGAUGACGGCCUUCGGGUUGUAAACCUCUUUCAGCAGGGAAGAAGCGAGAGUGACGGUACCUGCAGAAGAAGCGCCGGCUAACUACGUGCCAGCAGCCGCGGUAAUACGUAGGGCGCAAGCGUUGUCCGGAAUUAUUGGGCGUAAAGAGCUCGUAGGCGGCUUGUUGCGUCGGUUGUGAAAGCCCGGGGCUUAACCCCGGGUCUGCAGUCGAUACGGGCAGGCUAGAGUGUGGUAGGGGAGAUCGGAAUUCCUGGUGUAGCGGUGAAAUGCGCAGAUAUCAGGAGGAACACCGGUGGCGAAGGCGGAUCUCUGGGCCAUUUACUGACGCUGAGGAGCGAAAGCGUGGGGAGCGAACAGGAUUAGAUACCCUGG
rnacentral:rRNA from 1 species